rnacentral:rRNA from 1 species
AUGCCAGACUCCUACGGGAGGCAGCAGUGGGGGAUAUUGGACAAUGGGGGAAACCCUGAUCCAGCGACGCCGCGUGAGUGAAGAAGUAUUUCGGUCUGUAAAGCUCUGUCAGCAGGGAAGAAAGAAAUGACGGUACCUGACCAAGAAGCCCCGGCUAACUACGUGCCAGCAGCCGCGGUAAUACGUAGGGGGCGAGCGUUAUCCGGAUUCACUGGGUGUAAAGGGAGCGUAGACGGCCAUGCAAGCCAGGGGUGAAAGCCCGGGGCCCAACCCCGGGACUGCCCUUGGAACUGCAUGGCUGGAGUGCGGGGGGGGCAGGCGGAAUUCCUGGUGUAGCGGUGAAAUGCGUAGAUAUCAGGAGGAACACCGGUGGCGAAGGCGGCCUGCUGGACUGCAACUGACGUUGAGGCCCGAAAGCGUGGGGAGCAAACAGGAUUAGAUACCCGUGUA